rnacentral:misc_RNA from 1 species
CCGUACAAAACGUGAGAGGGGCUGUCGCUGACUUUUGAUGCAAAAGUCGUGCACGCUCCUCUCACAUGACAUCCGUCUCACCCUUUUGUGCACCACCGCGUGGGCACCCUUUGGGAUCAAACCCGAUCUCGGAGGGAGCUUGCGUUUUCACACAAACCCCCUCUUUAAAAGUGUAUAGAAUGACCCCAUUUGCGUGAUAAUA